UNCACUCAACUAGGUUUGUGGGUGCAAGC
rnacentral:piRNA from 1 species